CUUCACCGAACCCAGCCACAGCGGACGGUCCCGCCCCUGCCCGUAGGCCGCCAGCAGCGCCUGCGCCUC
rnacentral:antisense_RNA from 1 species